CGUCACCCGCCAGCUAGAUAAGUCGUUGCUCUUUAUCGUGACACGUGUCUCGUGUCCCCGAAACUCAUCGUUUCAUUAAGAGGCGUAUCGUCUGAGCUUGGCUCUGGGCGUAUCGUCUCUCUUCUUCUUUCUGCGGCGCUUGGCAACGCCUGAGCUUCUUCCGAAUCACUGAAACGGUUCGAGUUGUGGCUUUUCUGUGUUAACUCAAAUAGAGCAUAAUCUCUCCAUCUUCCUCGCGAUUUCUUCUACCGUUGUGCGAUCUCGAGUUUUUUCACACUUUCAAUGGCAAAUCCAAGUGCUGUAUCUGAAGAUAGGAAAUUGGACGACCUUGAAAUCGCCUCCGUUGGUGUUCUUUAUAGCGGCUACCAGAGCUCAUCUAGGGGAAAAGAUCGUUUCCCUUAUCCUGUGGGCUAUAAAGCUGUUCGAGCUCACAAUGAGAGCACAUAUUAUAUGGAGAUUGAAGAAGGUGCUAAAGGCCUUUGUUUCUGGUGUGUUGAUGAUUCCCUUUAAAUCUUAUAUAAGGUUGUGCAUACGUUUUUUUAGAAUGGAGCAGAGUCUUACUCUAUUGAUACUGAUACUUCCGACACAAGCUUGGUGCAUUGCAUCGCAUAGGAAUCAUCUGUACUGGUGGCUACAUAUGAAGGGACGCAUGACCACUUGGAUCAAACACUGUGACUUUGGAUAUUGUUCAUGGUGUGCAUGAUGUAUUAGCUUUGGAGAAGAAGAAAAGGGGAAUGAUGCAAGAGGUUUUGGUUCAGAAAUUGACCACUCCGUUACCUACUGAUUCAAAGUUUGCUGCUGCUCUUGCGGUUUCUAUAUCUGGAUGGUUGAUAUGUUUACCUCCGUUCAAGAGAAACUUCAUGAUUGGAUCAGUCGCAACCCACCCAUAACUCCGCUGAGAGGAACCUUGAAGCUACUGUUUACCCCCAAGCCAUCUGAAGAAUUGCUUUGGUUAUUGUUAAUACAAGCAGACCAUGUUGGUAAGUUGCCAUUGGUUCGUAUGAAUAAUCUCCGCUCAGUUCUUCUCUGUUAAUGGUUUUUAGUUAUACUUAGAAGAGCUGGUCUCAUCUGACAUUACGCUCCUCUGUUUGUUUUCGGAUUUCAUCAGUUAAUGUCUAUGUUCUGAAAAAUAGGGUGACGACUCUUCAUCAAGGUUAUGGUUCAUUGAGUUCCUUAGGGAGUAAGACGCUGACUAUGCAAUUAAGGCUCUUUACAUAAGCUCCAUGGAAAGGCUAUAUGUGUAACCAAGGCAAAUCAAGAUAAAAAGAGCAUGAUUGUUGGUGCUAACCUUUAGAAAGAAACAAUGGUACCACGAAUUGGGCUGUUGUUGAUAAGUCCGAAGUCUCCAUGAAUCAGAAAGCUUAGCCUGUCGGAGUUGGUCAUGUUGAUAUUAAUGCCAAGGGGAAAUAUCUGUGGAUUUUAACAUAGGUCAGCAAAGUCAUUCGACAGCAACUACUACGUUGAGAGAGCAGCACGAUGGUAGUAGUGAAAAGACAAGUUUAAGCCAAGGUUGUAAAGAAAACAGUAAAAGCUCGAGGAAGAGACACCAGCAAAGCAAAGAAAUAUCACAAGUUUAUUGAACUAACCAAUCUCACUCUCAAUACGUCAGAGAUACCAGCUAUGAAUGAGUGUUUUGUGGAGAUGGUAGCAGAAAGAGUCAUUGUAGAAUCUGUAAUCAGCGAAUGAUAGCAAAACGUGGUCUGAUUUCAAAGAGGCUAUAUGAAAAAGGAUCUAUAGCAAAGCCAUGGAAAAAGGAUGGCGUUUUCUUCUCUUUCGAUAGAAGCUGUUACUUGAGAACAGAUGAAAACUCAAGUGUACCUAUAUAUAGAUAUAUUUGACAAAAAAGUGUAUAUAAAUAUUCCAGAGUACAUAAAAAUCACAAGCAUUACAUAUUACAAGUACAUAAAAGUCAUAUGCAUUCAAGAGUAAAUGUCAUUUGUUUUAAAUGGUUAGAAGAAAGUUGAUUUGUUUUUAAAAAAAGAAGAAAAUUGAUUCAGUUGGAACAAUUAAGUGAAAAUAUGGUGUGUGUAUGAUAUGAUCUUGGCUUCGAAGCAAGACAUCCUUAAGAAACAUGAUACAAUAGAACAAUGAUAUGUUACUCCCAUUUGUCUAAACAUUUUUUGAAAACCAGUGAUUCAUAUAUUUUUAUUAUACUUCAAAUAAGCAUUGUGAAAACACAAAAUCUAAAGAUAGACAAUUACACAUACAUGUGCACAAAAAAAAGACAAUUACACAUACCAGCACAUAGCUCUCAUGACUUGAGUGACACUUCUAACAAAACAAACAGAUUUAGAAAUUGCAGUUAGCAGUCUAGAAGUGGGAAGUCAAUGAACAGGAAGUUAGUUACAUGUCUUCAUAAAAAAAACUAUUUAGUUUAGCAAAAAAACUCUCCAAAAUCACGUUCUCGAAAUGUAAUCACAAUUUCUUAUAAGACCUUUCUUUAGAAAAAAAAAAUAUAACAACAAUGACGAGCUCAAUUGAAACAUAAUUAUAUAUAACAUCUAAAAACAAGCGAAAACAACUACGAAAGAUAUAUACAAGACAAAACAUAUAUCUUUUUUUGUUCAAACAAAAUAUAUAUCUAUUUAAAAUGAUGAAAAAUAGAUAGUAAUAAAUUAGUCAAAUUGGACAACUU